rnacentral:rRNA from 1 species
CGCGGCCUAUCAGCUUGUUGGUGAGGUAAUGGCUCACCAAGGCGUCGACGGGUAGCCGGCCUGAGAGGGUGACCGGCCACACUGGGACUGAGACACGGCCCAGACUCCUACGGGAGGCAGCAGUGGGGAAUAUUGCACAAUGGGCGGAAGCCUGAUGCAGCAACGCCGCGUGAGGGAUGACGGCCUUCGGGUUGUAAACCUCUUUUAGCAGGGAAGAAGCGUGAGUGACGGUACCUGCAGAAAAAGCGCCGGCUAACUACGUGCCAGCAGCCGCGGUAAUACGUAGGGCGCAAGCGUUAUCCGGAAUUAUUGGGCGUAAAGAGCUCGUAGGCGGUUUGUCGCGUCUGCUGUGAAAUCUGGGGGCUCAACCCCCAGCCUGCAGUGGGUACGGGCAGACUAGAGUGCGGUAGGGGAGAUUGGAAUUCCUGGUGUAGCGGUGGAAUGCGCAGAUAUCAGGAGGAACACCGAUGGCGAAGGCAGAUCUCUGGGCCGUAACUGACGCUGAGGAGCGAAAGGGUGGGGAGCAAACAGGCUUAGAUACCCUGGUAGUCCACCCCGUAAACGUUGGGAACUAGUUGUGGGGUCCAUUCCACGGAUUCCGUGACGCAGCUAACGCAUUAAGUUCCCCGCCUGGGGAGUACGG